rnacentral:rRNA from 1 species
UUUUACANAUACCGGAUAAGCCUUUCGAGGUAAAGAUUUAUCGCCUUUAGAGCGGCUCGCGUCUGAUUAGCUAGUUGGUGAGGUAAUGGCUCACCAAGGCGACGAUCAGUAGCUGGUCUGAGAGGAUGAUCAGCCACACUGGGACUGAGACACGGCCCAGACUCCUACGGGAGGCAGCAGUAGGGAAUCUUGCGCAAUGGGCGAAAGCCUGACGCAGCCAUGCCGCGUGAAUGAUGAAGGUCUUAGGAUUGUAAAAUUCUUUCAGCGGGGAAGAUAAUGACUGUCCCGCAGAAGAAGCUCCGGCUAACUUCGUGCCAGCAGCCGCGGUAAUACGAAGGGGGCUAGCGUUGCUCGGAAUUACUGGGCGUAAAGGGCGCGUAGGCGGGUGUUUAAGUCAGAGGUUAAAUCCCAGGGCUCAACCCUGGAACUGCCUUUGAUACUGGGCACCUAGAGUUCGGGAGAGGUGUGUGGAACUCCGAGUGUAGAGGUGAAAUUCGUAGAUAUUCGGAAGAACACCAGUGGCGAAGGCGACACACUGGCCCGAUACUGACGCUGAGGCGCGAAAG